AAAUUCUUUUUUUUUUUUUGCUGUGUGUUCGGUGUUUUUUUUUUUUUUUAAUCUUUGAGCGCAUUGGCUUGAUAUGAAAUGCAUAGAUACUAUCCCUCCAUUCUUUUUUUCCAUGAUUCUCCUGAAUGCUUGUUUCACACUACGUCUUGUGUUAUUUCAAUAUGUGGCGAGAUGAAUGCUUCUGUUGUUGUCAAAAGCUUGGAUAUUUCGGUGGCUGCAUUCUUUAGCAUCUUUUGUUUUAGUAUGGCUGAAAAAAUAUGAUAUAUAUAUAUUGUACCUGUAUCUGCGCCUGCGUCUGCACCUGCACCUGCUGCUGCUCCUACCUCUACAGUUACUGCCAUACCAGAGUCUAAUGUCUAUGGUCAAGCGGCAUCGAAUUUGGUUGCUGGAAGUAACCUUGAUGGAGCGGUCCGGCAAAUUCUUGAUAUGGGUGGAGGGACUUGGGAUAGGGAUACUGUUGUUCGAGCUCUUCGUGCUGCUUACAACCCAGAGAGAGCUGUUGAAUAUUUAUAUUCUGUCAGCGUCUUUACUUGUAUUUGAUCUCUUUUGUGAAUUUAUUUUUCAAAUGGGAAGUGCAGAAGCAUGACGAAAAUUUUUGUUUUUGAUUUACGUUAUUUAGAUUUGUGAACAACAUUAUGUAUUGGAUAAUUUUGUUGAUGUAUUGUUAUGAAUGGAAGAAUAUUUUAAUUAUGGAUGAA